UAUAUGUUCCUAGAUACAUGGUUGUUACCCUACCUCUUACGGAUGGAGGGAAGAGGGGGGGGGUGCUAUUCUAUAUGUUCCUAGAUACAUGGUUGUUACCCUACCUCUUACGGAUGGAGGGAAGAGGGGGGGGUGCUAUUCUAUAUGUUCCUAGAUACAUGGUUGUUACCCUACCUCUUACGGAUGGAGGGAGGGAGUUAGGGAUGGAGAAAAGGAGGGAUAGAGAGGGGUGUGGUGCUAUUCUAUACGUUCCUAGAUACAUGGUUGUUACCCUACCUCUUACGGAUGGAGGGAGGGAGUUAGGGAUGGAGAAAAGGAGGGAUAGAGAGGGGUGUGGUGCUAUUCUAUACGUUCCUAGAUACAUGGUUGUUACCCUACCUCUUACGGAUGGAGGGAGGGGGGGGUGCUUCCUGCUUGUUUAGAGUCUGAGGACGUAGGAGGCAUUGUGGCAGGCCUCUGGUACUUAACUGCAGUCAAGACAACUGAGAGAGAAGAUCCUCGUCCCAUGGCCUUUUUGCAACAAAGAUAAAUAUGUAGUUGUUUCUUAAUGUAAGGGGCGGGGUGACGUAGCCUUUUCCUGCCUACCCAGACUCCUUGCUCCGGCCAAACGCUACAACAUGGAUCUGACGAUUUCUAGAACGCAAACACAUUCAAACAGUUGUGAUUGGUCCCAGAAAGCGAUGGGUUGGGCCAGAGCCAGAACACACGUGGGUAAAGCUGCGUUUUCAAAAUGUGUCAUUGGUUCGAGAUGCUCCAAUCGGUAAUGACUUUUGUUUUGCACAACACCCCUCAUUGUGACGUCACCACAACCGACUUCAACGCUGGCUGUCUGACUGAAGUAUGUAGUGAGUCGUCAGGCAGACAGCCUGGAAAUCCAGACUGUUUCAUUAUAGCAGAGCUGAAAUCAAUACCCUAUUACCUGUACUACUUUUGACUAUAUGGCAUCCCAUAGGACUCUGGCCAAAAGUAGUGCACUAAAUUGGGAAUAGGGUGCCAUUUUGGUACGUUACCACAGACACCCCUGGCCUCCUAGCCUGGAAAUCAAGUUUACGUUCCAAAUGGCACCCUAUUCCAUAAAAAAUAUUGCACUACUUUUGACCAGAGCCCUAUGGACCCUGGUCAAAAGUAGUGCACUAAAUAAGGAAUAGGGUGCCAUUUGGGAUACAAGCCAUGUGUCUUUUUAUUUGAUUACUUUUAUCAAGUCCAAUGCUACUGAGAGACGGGACAGGAGAACGAGGAAAAGGAGGACGAGUGAGUGAUGAAUCCUAUAGAAACACUGGCCAAACACACCAUUUCUAAAUGCGGCUGGAAGUUGUUUCGCUGGGCCAGAAAUGACUUUUAAAAAAUACUAGAGACCAUAUUUUAGAAAAGAUCUUUGUAGGAAAUGUUAUUAUUACGUUGCUGUUUUUCUGUCGAUAUUUACCAAUGUUUUUAUUUCUACAGAUUUAAAUGUGUACUGUAUAGCUGCUUUUACCAACGCUAGUAUUCACACAAUAUCCUUGCUAGGAAUUAGCUUGCAAAAAACGCAGUAGUCCACCGGAAGCCAGAAGUUAAGUCAAAUUUCAACUUUGUCUGUAGGGUUGGUCUUUAUGCAGGGAGAUGGAGAAAUAACAUAGAAUGGAACGUAUAAUUAAAGGUCUGUUUGUAGACCCCAUGCAGUUCCUCCGGGACUUCAGUUCCUCUCUGUUUAUCUCAUGUCAAAAUAAAAGUCCCUCACAAGUUCUUGCUUUCUUGUGCAGGUAUGGCGCACGUGCCAGACUUUUAUUUUGACGCGAGGUAAGCAGAGAGGAAGUGGGACGAAAGACCCACGUUUGGACAGGGUUUAAGUUAUGUUCUACUAAAUGUUUCUUGCUUAAUUUCCCCCCUGCAUAAGGACCAACUCUACAGACCAUCGGCAGAGUAAGUUGAAAUGUCAUUUUAUUUCACUCCUGUCUUCUGGCUGACUAUUCUGUUUAUUUGCAAGCUAAUUCCUGCAACGCUAGUGUGUAAAUACUAGUGUUGCUAAGAGAAGCUAUGUCCUAUGUAGUGUUUUAGGUCCUGAUUACUAAUUCCUGCAGCGCUAGUGUGUAAAUACUAGUGUUGCUAAGAGAAGCUAUGUACUAUGUAGUGUUUUAGGUCCUGAUUACUAAUUCAAACAUUAACACGUUUUAGAAACUUACCAAGUGUUCUGUCAUUUAAGAGGAAGUUGAACUCUGAAAGUGUAAAAUAGCUAGAGAAAGAGAUCCACAUAUUUUUGCAUUGUGCUGUAAUGAAGGGGAGGGGGCCGUUUUGAUGCUGGACACGAGAAGGGGGGACACCGUACUGAAACUGCAGUGUGUACUUUUGGGAGGAUGAUGUACUGUGGAAGCACCACUAGCUGGUAUGUCAGUCUCUCCUAAGGGACUAUAUCUCUUCAAUUCCUUACUAGGAAUAUUUAUAAUAUCCAUCAGACAUAGUCUUUUAUGUUCUUGUACAUUUCUUUGAAAUCCAGAAUUCCCUGGAAGUUAAAUUAGCUUCCGCCUUCACUUGACCAUGCUUGGCUCUCGUCUCAUGUGGUCCAGCUCAGUUGUUAGAGCACGGCGCUUGUAACGCCAGGAUAGUGGGUUCAAUUCCCGGGACCACCCAUACCUAAAAUGUCUGCACGCGUGACUGUAAAUGGCUUUGGAUAAAAGCAUCUGCUAAAUGGUAUAGAAUGACAACUGUCCCAGCCAGGGAAAUGUUGGCUGGAUUGUGAUGCUCAUAAGGUGCUCGCCCACCUGGUGUCUGGUGUUGGUACUCCAACUCAGGGGGGGGAGGGGGGACUUCUUGCGCUGCCUGGCAUUACCAUCAUCCUACCGAUAGAGGGCAGCGUAAUGUUACAUCAUUGAGACAGUGGUUGAGCUUUGCUUUCUGUCUCGACUUGUCUUGUAUUCAUUAAUUCUACAUUCAAAAAGACCUGUCAGUAUUUGCUUUGGGGAUGAAGUCCCCAUUGUGUUUGAGACCAAAUAUUUAGUCCGUUGAUCCCCAUAGCUAACGUAAGCUCUGCUGGAGCCUGUACACAGCCCCAAGUUACUACUCUUUCAUAGCCUGUAUCCUGACAGGAAUACAUCGCUUCCUGUCUUUGUCAUGUCCAUGUAUCUACCUGUCUGUCUUCCCAAGACGUUGACAAUACGCCAUUUCAAUGUCUUGUGCUCACUGGGUUGCUUCUUGUUGCUACCUGGUUCCACUCGGCACCACAGACAAAUAAAAGGGAAAUAGAGAGGGUGAAAUAAUCUUUACUGAAGCACCUUUGGGUGAGCGCUAACGGUCCGGUAUAGUAGAGACCGCUAGCCAAAGCCUCGGCACCUUGUCAACACGCUCUCUAUUUAGUCCCUCUAGAACGGUCUGUGGAGUGGUAUUUGGUGGCAGAAGUGGGAUCCGGGCAUAGAAAUAGAAUCUAUAGAACGGACCUCUCCAUUCAAGUCGAUGAUUGCAUCAUGGGUUAGGCAGGCGUACUCAACUCUUACCCUACGUGUUCCCGAGCCUGCUGCUUUUCUGUUCAACCUAAUAAUUAAUUGCACACACCUGGUGUCCCAGGUCUUCGAGGGGAACAAUGAAAACAUUCAGUGGAAACUGGCUUCGAGGUCCAGAGUUGAGUUUGAGGGGGUUGGAACGGACUUGGAACCUCUAUUUCCAUGGAUCCAGGGUUGUGUUCAUUAGGCACCAAACGGUGGAAAACUGACAAGCGUGGGGGGGCUACCCGAAUUUGUCCAAUAGGAAGCUCUAGUCUUUCUUCAUUGCGAUAUGAUUUGCUACGCUGUCUACUAAUGAAUCGGUGUGGGGAUGAAUGGGGGGGAAUCAACUCUUUGUGAAGAUUUUUUUGUAUUUUUUUAUUAUUCCUUUUCAUUUUUAUUUGGUUUUCAUUUGUUGUUGCUGUACCCCCCCGGGCAGGUUCUGGGGGGUGGUGCCCAACCAACCAACGCGUAGGGAGGUUAUCCCCCUGGUCAUGUAACACCCUGGGUCCUAGUGACCAGACUGUACAUCUCUUCUCUGCAGAGGGAGGAGAGGGGAUGCCAUUCUAUUACUAUAGUAGCCCCCCUCCCUCCCAACUGGCCCCCUCUGCAUGGCAGGCUAUAGGUCCAAGGUAACCCCUUUACCACAGCUCUACAACCAGAUUACCCUAUUACCAAUCCUAAUUCUAAACAUGAUGGGGAUAAAGAAAGAUCUGACCUUAGACCAGUGGUAAGGGACAAGGCCAUUUCUGCUUGCAUUGUAGCCUGUCAAUCCUUGUAUGUUUCCUUGCAGUUAAAAUCAGACCUGGGUUCAAGUAUUUUAAAUCUUUAAAAUACUUUGCAGCUCUCGCCCUCCUGGAGAGUCUGAUGGGCCGUGUAUGCCGUUUUAGGACCAUUCUAUUGGGUCCACUAAGCCAGGCGUUCUCAAUGAAGUAUUUGAUCCCAGGUCUAGCUCUAAUCUGUGCUUUUCUCUGCAACCGCUGACUGACAGCAAUCUUCUAAAUGUCUAUUUCAGAGGUACAUUUACUAGUAUUACCGCUCCUUAUAAGGACCCUGACGCACCAGAGAUACACACACGGCAUGGCUGCUCACUGAUAGUGUCCUGUUUUAAUGUGUGUUUACAACUACACAGAUACAGUUUACCUCCUAUGCCGUCAGUCAUAGCCUCAGACCGUUACUAACCUCAGAAGUACCGGGGUCGUGUUCAGAACGGACUGAAAACGGGGAGGGACUGCAUGAACGUGUCUAAUAAGAGACACUCGUGUUUUUUUCUCUCUUCCCCCCCGUUGCAAAACGUUUCUCUACAGUGCGCCCUAAUGAAUACGACCCAGGAGACGUUAAGGCUACAGUACAGUUAGUUCAGGUACAGACAGACCAGAACAAUAAAAAUAGCUCAAGUCUCAUAUUGACCUGGAAUGAAUAGAAUACAGUCAAGGUAUUGGCUGUGGAGAAGUGGGAUGCUUUGUGAAAGUUAUUACCUCAGUUACAUAGAGAUGACUCUUCUCUCUUUUUGAUUUGGUUUCCUGUCUCUGGUGCUGUCGGUCUUUCCCCGUUGCAGAUCUUUCUUUUCACACUAUAAAUACAGUAUAUUAAACUGUACAUUCUUACAAUACAUAGAAGCACUAUUGAAGUUUGUUAGUUCACUCGCAGCAUGAGUUGAUUUAAAAAAUAACAAAAAAUAUAAAGAAAUGAAAAAUACAACCUAAUGCAGUAGUGUUGUCAGAGAUAUACUACUGAUGAUGCUCCUCCCGACGACCCCUAUCCCAUGCCGUGUUACCCCCCCUCUUCCUGAUCCCUACCCAUGUACAUGCCAGUGUUCCAAGUGCCAAUAACUUUGUGAAAUCCUAACUGUGACCCAGUAAUAAAGAUAAUUGCACAUUAACUACUGUAAAAAAGACAAAUUAUGAAAAACAAUCUGAAUAUCUUAAUAAAAGGUUUGUAACAAAUA